CAGGAGGAACCAUCUGUAGUUGAGUCCUACUAUAACAAGCGGAUAGUCGGCUGCCCUGGUGGUGAGGGAGAGGAUGAACACGAUGUUGUAUGGUUCUGGUUGAAAAAAGAUGAGCCGCAUGAGUGUCCAGUCUGCUCGCAAUACUUUGUGCUUAAGGUCAUUGGUGAUGGUGGUGAUCCAGAUGGUCAUGGCGAUGAAGAUGAUGGACAUCACUAAGGAUGCCUUGUGGUUCUGAAAAUAAGAACUUGGUGAGGCAGAUGAAUCCAAUACACUCCUUUUUUCUAGAACCAGACUGCUCCACGGCAUCCUUGUUUAUGAAAAGACAGUUGGCCAUCAAGCAGGUGGUAGUUUUCACCUAGGGAUUUUGUCCAAACAAAAGCUGUCUGAGAUUUGACCCAUGCGUUUCUUUAAGAGCAUCGUCGAAUAAAAGAUGACUGCAGUCAGAUUGCUUUCUUUUGAUA